UCGAGCGGAUGACGGGAGCUUGCUCCUUGAUUCAGCGGCGGACGGGUGAGUAAUGCCUAGGAAUCUGCCUGGUAGUGGGGGACAACGUUUCGAAAGGAACGCUAAUACCGCAUACGUCCUACGGGAGAAAGCAGGGGACCUUCGGGCCUUGCGCUAUCAGAUGAGCCUAGGUCGGAUUAGCUAGUUGGUGGGGUAAUGGCUCACCAAGGCGACGAUCCGUAACUGGUCUGAGAGGAUGAUCAGUCACACUGGGACUGAGACACGGUCCAGACUCCUACGGGAGGCAGCAGUGGGGAAUAUUGGACAAUGGGCGAAAGCCUGAUCCAGCCAUGCCGCGUGUGUGAAGAAGGUCUUCGGAUUGUAAAGCACUUUAAGUUGGGAGGAAGGGCAGUAAGUUAAUACCUUGCUGUUUUGACGUUACCGACAGAAUAAGCACCGGCUAACUCUGUG
rnacentral:rRNA from 1 species